rnacentral:rRNA from 1 species
ACUUAAAUUGAAGAGUUUGAUCAUGGCUCAGAUUGAACGCUGGCGGCAGGCCUAACACAUGCAAGUCGAGCGGUAGCACAGAGAGCUUGCUCUCGGGUGACGAGCGGCGGACGGGUGAGUAAUGUCUGGGAAACUGCCUGAUGGAGGGGGAUAACUACUGGAAACGGUAGCUAAUACCGCAUAACGUCGCAAGACCAAAGUGGGGGACCUUCGGGCCUCAUGCCAUCAGAUGUGCCCAGAUGGGAUUAGCUAGUAGGUGGGGUAAUGGCUCACCUAGGCGACGAUCCCUAGCUGGUCUGAGAGGAUGACCAGCCACACUGGAACUGAGACACGGUCCAGACUCCUACGGGAGGCAGCAGUGGGGAAUAUUGCACAAUGGGCGCAAGCCUGAUGCAGCCAUGCCGCGUGUGUGAAGAAGGCCUUCGGGUUGUAAAGCACUUUCAGCGGGGAGGAAGGCGGUGAGGUUAAUAACCUCAUCGAUUGACGUUACCCGCAGAAGAAGCACCGGCUAACUCCGUGCCAGCAGCCGCGGUAAUACGGAGGGUGCAAGCGUUAAUCGGAAUUACUGGGCGUAAAGCGCACGCAGGCGGUCUGUCAAGUCGGAUGUGAAAUCCCCGGGCUCAACCUGGGAACUGCAUUCGAAACUGGCAGGCUAGAGUCUUGUAGAGGGGGGUAGAAUUCCAGGUGUAGCGGUGAAAUGCGUAGAGAUCUGGAGGAAUACCGGUGGCGAAGGCGGCCCCCUGGACAAAGACUGACGCUCAGGUGCGAAAGCGUGGGGAGCAAACAGGAUUAGAUACCCUGGUAGUCCACGCCGUAAACGAUGUCGAUUUGGAGGUUGUGCCCUUGAGGCGUGGCUUCCGGAGCUAACGCGUUAAAUCGACCGCCUGGGGAGUACGGCCGCAAGGUUAAAACUCAAAUGAAUUGACGGGGGCCCGCACAAGCGGUGGAGCAUGUGGUUUAAUUCGAUGCAACGCGAAGAACCUUACCUGGUCUUGACAUCCACAGAACUUUCCAGAGAUGGAUUGGUGCCUUCGGGAACUGUGAGACAGGUGCUGCAUGGCUGUCGUCAGCUCGUGUUGUGAAAUGUUGGGUUAAGUCCCGCAACGAGCGCAACCCUUAUCCUUUGUUGCCAGCGGUCCGGCCGGGAACUCAAAGGAGACUGCCAGUGAUAAACUGGAGGAAGGUGGGGAUGACGUCAAGUCAUCAUGGCCCUUACGACCAGGGCUACACACGUGCUACAAUGGCAUAUACAAAGAGAAGCGACCUCGCGAGAGCAAGCGGACCUCAUAAAGUAUGUCGUAGUCCGGAUUGGAGUCUGCAACUCGACUCCAUGAAGUCGGAAUCGCUAGUAAUCGUAGAUCAGAAUGCUACGGUGAAUACGUUCCCGGGCCUUGUACACACCGCCCGUCACACCAUGGGAGUGGGUUGCAAAAGAAGUAGGUAGCUUAACCUUCGGGAGGGCGCUUACCACUUUGUGAUUCAUGACUGGGGUGAAGUCGUAACAAGGUAACCGUAGGGGAACCUGCGGUUGGAUCACCUCCUUACCUUAAAGAA